AACGAACGCUGGCGGCAGGCCUAACACAUGCAAGUCGAACGCUGUAGCAAUACAGAGUGGCAGACGGGUGAGUAACACGUGGGAAUCUUCCUAUCGGUACGGAAUAGCUCAGGGAAACUUGGGGUAAUACCGCAUACGCCCUUCGGGGGAAAGAUUUAUCGCCGAUAGAUGAGCCCGCGUCUGAUUAGCUAGUUGGUGAGGUAAUGGCUCACCAAGGCGACGAUCAGUAGCUGGUCUGAGAGGAUGACCAGCCACACUGGGACUGAGACACGGCCCAGACUCCUACGGGAGGCAGCAGUGGGGAAUAUUGGACAAUGGGCGCAAGCCUGAUCCAGCCAUGCCGCGUGAGUGACGAAGGUCUUCGGAUUGUAAAGCCCUUUUGGCGGGGACGAUAAUGACGGUACCCGCAGAAUAAGCCCCGGCUAACUUCGUGCCAGCCGCCGCGGUAA
rnacentral:rRNA from 1 species